CUGCCUCUCAGUCUCGCGGCGACUGCGGAAAAUACAACGCCGCUGCCGUGCAGGGCACAGGUGACAGUCUGCGUUACCUCUGCGACACGCCAAAGAAACUCGACGAUCGAGAGCACAAGGUAAGACUUGCAAUGGGCAGCGGGAUGAGAGCAGGUGUUCGGAGGGACUUCGCGGGCGGGUCCGGAAACACUGAAGUCGAAGAGUUUAACGGCGCAACAGGGGGAUUUUUCUCCUAUGAAUUAGUGAUCGGAGCUAUAGGGCGAGACACCUUCUUCCACAAGGUGAGCCUGGAAGUCCGGUGUCCGAAAUAUCAGCAGACCGGGGAGACAAAAGCUGCAUAGUGUCCUCAAGAAAGGAGACAUGUACUUCAGCACUGGUGACCUGCUGCGUAUCGAUGAAGAUAAUUUCAGGAUCGAGUUGCAGACACGUUCAGGUCAAAUGCAGCUUCAUUCUCUGAGAUUUUUUAUUCAUUUAUUUUUUAUCGUCAACAGAUGGGAAGGAGAAAAACAUGGCUACAAAUGAGGCGGCUGGCCUCAUCCCGCCGGCCGAUUGCAUUGAAGAAGCCGAUGUGCAUGGAGUUAAAGGGCCAGGUAAUAUUCACCGGACGUCGUCUUGUCACGGC